CAUAUGAUCCAGCAAUUUCACUUCUAGGUAUAAACCCAAGAAAAAUGGAAAAAUAUAUACACAUAAUGACCCAUCCACAAAUGUUCACAGUGCCAUUUUUUAUCAUAGCCGAAAAGAAACAACCUAAAUGUCCAUCAGAUGAGAAAAUGGAUAAACAUGAUGUGGUUUAUCUGUACAAUGGAAUAUGAUUUGGCUAUAAAAAGGAUGAAAGUACUAUUGCCUGCUACAAAAUAAAUGAACUUGGAAAACAUUAUGCUGAUUGAAACAAAUCAGACACAAAAUGCUACUUAUGAUCAUAUGGUUCCGAUUAUAUAAAAUAUUCAAAAUAUACAAAUCCUUAGAGAUAGAGAGUAGAUUAGUGCUUGCCUAUGGUUGAGGGAACGGAAGAUUGGAACGAGGAGUGCCUGCUAAUGGGGACAGGGUUUCCUUUUGCCGUGGUGAAAACAUUCCGCAAUUAGAUAGUGAUGAUGGCUGCUCAACUUGGCAAAUAUGCUAAAAACCACUGAAUUGUAUGUUUUGAAAGGUCAGAUUUUAUGGUAUAUGAAUCAUAUCUCAACAAAGUUGUUUGAAAAAAAAAAAACAAAAAAAACAGAUUGCCCAAUCCCUGCAUCCACACGGGGUUAAUGAGAGACCAGGACCGCUAGUCAUUCUUUCAUCAGAGAGUAGGCUGAUUAAGUAGUACUCCACCUCUGGGGUUUUUUUUUUCCUCUCUUUUUCUUCCAGAGAGGUGAGCAUCUGCAGAAUGCUCUCUGGCACAGAGUGUUCAUUAGAAUAAACAAAAAUAGCAUCCCACCUACCGAACAGCUGUCAUUGAUGUUCAGAUUGCUGUUUUGCUUUUUUCUUUUCUUUGUUUCUAAAACAUCAUUAAAUAAGCACAGACCUCCCCAAAGAAGCUCUAACUUUUGAUUGGAUAAUUCUCAGGAUGUAUUUUCUGAAAGAUGAGGGAACUGAAAUCCGUGAACUUCAAACCAUUUGCUUGAAGACAUGGCUGACAUUUGUGGCUGAAUCCUAAUGUAGUUAAUUUUCCUUUCAGCGGGUCAACUUGCAACUGGUAAGUAGGAUCCAUACAAAACUACAAUCACCUCGAAAUAUCCUGUAGUCUUUUCUACCUCACAUUUCAAUAGCUCUCAUUUUUUAAGAGAUACAAAGAUUUCUUUUUAAAGAAGCAGCUGAUAUUUAUUUGACUUCAUGAGUUACCUUACUGGAUUAAUGAGAUAACUAAUAGAAGUUAUUUCAAAACAGAGCCAACUACAGAGUGCACAUGAUUCUGGAAACAGGGUUGGCAUGAACCACAGAUAAUCCCCACAAGUCAUUUCACUAGUUCCCAUUGUCCUAAUAAAACCCUUUGGAGGGGUGCUAAUAAGUGUCAAAUUAACCAAUGUGUGUUUCAUUUCCUCUAUUUGCCCUCUGAAAGAGAUGCUGGCAAAAUGGCAGAUACAGCAGUAGUGGGAAGGACAAGGAGGAGAAAUGAAGGCACCAAAGAGCUCCAACAUUUAGACAGUCCACAGUCCAUCCCUAAAUGAUCAAAAGUUGUGUGUAACAUGGCACAAAUUAUUAUGAGUUGAAAUCUUUUGGUCACUAGGGACAAGGACAAAACAGAGCCCACAAGUGUGUGAGAAGGGCCCGAGGGAUCAUUCAGUUUGUUUGCAUUGUUGUGUUUUGUUUUUCUCUUGGUAUGGCACCUACACACAAAUCUGACAAGCCAAAAUAGGAAUAAGAACACACGCACUCACAGUGACCUUUUAUUAAAUGCAGAGAUGGUUAUGUGUCACCUAAAACAUCAACAAAAGCCCAGUUCCAGUAAUCAGCAAUAUUUUUUUGCUGCAUUUAUACUUGGUCCUCUUUAAUUAUACAGAGUUGCCACCAGUGUACUGAAAUGAUAGACUAGAACACGAUGACUUCAGCAGGAGAUCAGAGCUUUAGAGCUUCAUCAUUCUCGCAUUCAAGUGCGAGAUUUCAGCCUGUCUCUCCUCUAAAUGCAGUUAGGAGUCUUUGAAACCUUUUGUGUGAAUCCAGGAGGGAAAAUUGUCUGGCAAAGUCUGAUAAGCAUCAUGUCAAGAGCACAUUUGUACUCUGGUAAGAAGCCCAGGCCAAUUGCUGCUGGGUUGUCAUGGCAACAGACAUACACACCAUUUACACAUCAGCUUCUGAAAUGAGUAGAAAAUAACAAAACCUUUUCGACAGGCUGGGAGGUGAAGGGAAGAGCGGCAUCAUCUGUGCAGCCUGGUGAAACGGCUCUAGUGGGCAUGCUGUCUCCUUGGAUGGUGUCAUGUUUUUAACCCAGUGGGAAAUUCAUAGGAUCCUCCUGAUUCUGUAUAAACUGUGGGACAGUUCAGUCACUUUUACCAAAUCCUUAUUUCCUUUUCAAACCCUGUUUACUAAUUGAUGCCAAAUAGUAUUAUAGUAAUUGGGAAAUAAAGGAGGUCCCUCUCCUGCUUAUUCCUCCCAAAGUACAUUUCUUUAGCUUUUCAGGGAGGUUUUGUAGCAUACUUAUAUAUUGUAGAGGGAGAUGGAGAAGGAGGAGGAGGUCUUUCAUGGGCCUAGAGAAAAUGAAGUUAAUCACGGUUGGAAAGCCUUCCCUUAAAAAUGCUGGUUUUUGUUUGUUUGUUUGUUUGUUUUUUAAUGGAGUCUCUCUCUCUGUCAC